AUGAACUUCUCCUGCCUCUUCAAAACAGGUAUUCUUGAGUCAGAGUUUCCAUCUGAAUGGAGUAAGCACAGAAGAUCUCGGUCUACUUUUUUGCUGGUCAUAGCAAUAUCAUCUUGCAGACUAAUUGCCUCUGGUUUAAACAACUUACAUGAAGUUUCAGUUCAUGCAAAUACAAAAGAUGUUUCAGAAUUAAUGUGGCUUGUAAAAGAGACUGUUGCUGACCAAAUGAACUGCAUAUACCAGGGGUAUAUAACAUAUGCUAUAGAAAAUACUGGAAAGAUCAUCAAAGGAUCCCAAAGAAUUCAAACAAGAAGCCCAGUAUCUGCUUUAGGCACUUAUUUCCACCUUCUGCAUACAUACGAAGUUUUAAAAAUGCAAGAAUUGGCAGUAGCUAGUUCAAGAAUGGUAUGAUCAAAACGCUUUAAAGAAAACACAGAUAUAAAGAAAAUUUCAACACAUGAAAAAGCCACACAACACAUAUGGAUGACAUUCAAGCAUGGGGAAUAUUACAGACAUUCUGUGUUGUGAAAUAAACACUUUAAAAGAAAUAGAAAUAUGCAUUCAACACCAAAGUUAAUAUUUAUGAUUUAUAUGUUAUUAUUAAGGACUACAUAUGGAAUUUUCAUCCUAUCCUAUUCAAGCUGUUUGUGUUUUAAAGGAAAAUGUAAAACUUCCUAUAUCUAAGCUUCUAAUAAAUUUUAUACCUAAGGGAAGUUCCAGAACUGAAGAAAAUAGCUGGCACAGGUUAUACCCAAAUAACUUGUUUUAAUUUAUUUUUGGUGACUUCAAAAUGAGAGCCUUCACUCACCAAUUUAUUCAUUAAAGGUAACUGUUAUUUGACUGGUUAUUUUGUGCUAAGAUAUGGACCUAAGUUAGUAUAUAACAGUUAAAACCUAACUUUUCAAACCUCCAAUAGGUCCUGCUUUCCCCCAGAUUGAUGCUGAAAUCUCAUCUACAGUAGGGUCCAUGGAUGUUCUACUUCCGCUUGAACACUUUUAGUGAUGAAAAUUUAGUUUUGACUGGAAAUUAGUGACCACAG
rnacentral:lncRNA from 1 species